UCCCGCCUACGGGGCGCAGCAGUAGGGAAUUUUCGUCAAUGGGCGCAAGCCUGAACGAGCAAUGCCGCGUGAACGAGGAAGGUCUUCGGAUCGUAAAGUUCUGUUGAAGGGGAAAAAGAGCGGAGAGAGGAAAUGAACUCCGAUUGAUAUUACCCUUCGAGGAAGUCACGGCUAACUACGUGCCGGCAGCCGCGGUAAUACGUAGGUGGCGAGCGUUAUCCGGAAUGAUUGGGCGCAAAGGGUGCGUAGGCGGCCUGCUAAAUCUGGAGUGAAAGG
rnacentral:rRNA from 1 species